CCGUUUUGCACACAGAUCAACUAUAACUUUUCUUGUUUUAGAAACAGAGCCCGCCCAGUGAUAUAAAUUAAACGGGCGCGGUGUUCUGACCGUGCAAAGGUAGCAUAAUCAUUUGUUCUCUAAAUAGGGAGGGGUAUGAGCUGCCACACGAGGAUCUAACUGUCUCUUUCUCAAAAAGUGUGAAUCAAUUAAUGAUGUGAAGAGUCGGGGAUACAUCAAUAAGUCGAGAAGACUCUAAGGAGCUUUUAUUAACUAACUUAAUAAGAAGACAAAAAUUUCAAAAAUGACUAGACUAGUCUUAAUAUAAGUUAGCAAAAAUCGUCGGGGUGACCUCGGAGCAUAGAAAAUCCUCCGAUUGAUUAAUAUUUAGGACUUCAAGUCAAAAUAACAACAUCAUUAAAUGAUCCAAGCUUUUGGAUCAGCGGCACAAGUUACCCUGGGGAUACCAGCGCACUGGCAUUCAAGAGUCCACUCGACGAUGGGGUUUCCGGCUCGAUGUGAGAUCAGGACACGCAGGUGUGCAGCGCUGCAAGAUCGUCUAUCUCUGUGAAACAAAUUCCGA
rnacentral:rRNA from 1 species